rnacentral:rRNA from 1 species
UACGUAGGGUGCGAGCGUUAAUCGGAAUUACUGGGCGUAAAGGGUGCGUAGGCGGUUAUAUAAGUUAGAUGUGAAAUCCCUAGGCUUAACCUGGGAACUGCGUUUAAUACUGUAUAGCUAGAGUACUGAAGAGGUUAGUGGAAUUUCCAGUGUAGCGGUGAAAUGCGUAGAUAUUGGAAGGAACACCAGUGGCGAAGGCGACUAACUGGUCAGAUACUGACGCUGAGGCACGAAAGCGUGGGGAGCAAACAGG